AGGGAGAAAGCUAGAAGCUGAAG
rnacentral:miRNA from 1 species